GAUGAAGAACGCAGCGAAAUGCGAUAAGUAAUGUGAAUUGCAGAAUUCAGUGAAUCAUCGAAUCUUUGAACGCACAUUGCGCCCACCAGUAUUCUGGCGGGCAUGCCUGUUCGAGCGUCAUUUCAACCAUCAAGCCCCCGGCUUGUGUUGGGGACCUGCGGCUGCCGCGGGCCCUGAAAAGCAGUGGCGGGCUCGCUGUCACACCGAGCGUAGUAGCAUACAUCUCGCUCUGGGCGUGCUGCGGGUUCCGGCCGUUAAACCACCUUCAUAACCCAAGGUUGACCUCGGAUCAGGUAGGAAGACCCGCUGAACUUAAGCAUAUCAAUAAGCGGAGGA
rnacentral:misc_RNA from 1 species